AAAAAAUUAGUUAAAUUAUAACAUAAAUUUGUCAAAUUUAAAUUAUUAGAUAUAAUAUUUUUUA
rnacentral:tRNA from 1 species